GGGGCCGGCGGGCCGCGGUGGCGGUCUGAGAGGGGGGGGGCCGGCGGAGCCCUCGGAGCUCCCCGGAGAGCAAGGGACCCAGCGCGCCCGCCUCGCCAAGGCGCCGGGGUCCCGGGUCCUCCGGCCGGCUGGUCGGGGCCGGGGGGCAGCCCGGAGUUUCCCCACCGACUCCUCUCUCCUCCCUGCAGCCCCUCCGCACUACCCGGGCUCCAGGCAGCAGAGAUAAGGCUCCGAACGUGAUGUGAAGCUCGAGUCGGCAAAGGUCUCUAGCGGGUCUACUGUGGAGGCUGUGCCCAGCCCAGCUGCUACGAGCCGCUGAGUAGGUUGCGCCGGAUUGAGGACUGCUUGCAGAAGAGGUACCAGCCUUGGCUCCUGAGGCGGCACCAGCGCGUGUACUUGCGCCGUGGGGUGUCGGGCGCAGCCGGCCUCCCGGAGGGCCUGGCCUGCCCGGGCGGGCUGGCCCCGGACGCCCCCUUCCAGGGCCCCACCUGUGCGCUGGCGCCUCCCCCGGAACGCCGGAACGCAGGUUCCUCCGCCCCAGGGGAAAAUUGCAAAGCUCACGUACAGCCAGAUUGAUUGCAUAAUUUUUUAGGAAUGAAGAAUUAGCAUUUGAGUUAUUUCCUAAAAUUAAACCUUGAAAGCCCACUUGGAGGCUAGACAACCAUCUGUACACUUGAACAUGAAAAGUAGCCUUCUUCCACCAGGGAGAUUUCUUUCUUCUGCUAAAUCAUCAGAAGUGGUAAGAAGAAAAGAUCCCUACCCAACCAAACUCAUCCAGAUAAACUUUUUGAGAAAGCUUUUUUGAGAAAAGAAGGGAGCUAUAUGAGGGUGGCCAGAUCAUGUUCUGCUUGCACCACCACCGAUCAGCCCCCUCCAGGAUUGCCACCUACGUGCAGGUCCUGCCCUUACAAGGGCACCUGGCCAAGGCAGCAAAUGGGAGCUGAAAUCCUGCCCAGGAUUUCAACUCGCCAAGCAGAGUUGAUUGGUGCAUGGCUGGGUCUACCCAGGCGAUGUGGCUCCUUUUCCUAAUUUGCACCAAAGCACCCUGUGUGGGCUAGGGGAAGCUCUGACCAUCCUACUCCCAGGAUAAGUCCUAUCCAGGAUUAUAUUCCUUACUUGGUUUAUUAAGUGUAUUGUAAAGGAUGAAAUAUUUGCCUCAAAUUGAAAGUCAUUUAAGGGAUGAAGCUCAAAAUAUUACAAUGGGUCUGAAUUAUGUAUGUAUGUAUUUAUAUGUGCAUGUGUAUAUAGUUAUGUGGAUAUACUUUUCUAUGCAUCAGAAAUCAACAAACUUAAAUUUAGUAAAUGUUAAAUAAACUAUUGGGUAUUAGAAUCAGUUUUAUAUGUGAUUUCUGACCUUCCCAGAAAUAUGUGCUAUUCAUUCUAUUUCAAUAAAUAUAUAUUAAGUGCCAGACAUUGAGCAAGGCAAUAUGUAUACAGUAGUGAAAAAUAAUACAAAUACCCUGCCUCUAGGUAGUUUAUAACUAAGACAAAUGAUAAAGUCACAAAUAAACUUAUGAUUUUAAAUUGUCAUAAGGGCUAUGAAAGAAAUGCCACAAGGGAGAAAAAGAAGGAAAAAAAAUUUAUUUCAGAUUGUGACUGGGAAAAGCCUGUCAGUGAAAGUAGCAUUUCAGUUGAGACCUGAGGAUGAGUUGGAAGGAGUUUAUGAAGUGACUCCACCCUAUUUAUUUAAAUUAUACAAGCAUUUGAAUUCAGAAAAGAAAAUGAAGAAUUUACAGGAAAGCACAGAAUUAAGUAGAUAACUAAAAAAGGACAGUUUGCAGGCCAAAUCAUACUACAGUUUAUAGACUGUAGAAAACUAAUGAUAUUACUGUAUAUUCAUGGAUUAUACAGUAAUAAUCCCUCCCACAAGGACCUGAUUCUCACUGAUCUUUGUCUCUUUAAAUCCUAGCUUUUCCCUCAACUUCUAAGAAUAUAUCUAGUUUGAGUGGCCCUUCAGCCAUUGCAUCUCAUUUAAGCAGUAAUUCUGUAUUAUAUUUUAUUGGUUUUCAUUUGUACAUUGUUGAUAAUUGAUAUUCAUUCAUACGUGGGAGUUGAAUCUGCAUGAGUUUGUAAGCUCCAUGAGGGCAGGAAUUAAAUUUCCUUCUAGAAUCUAGGUCAGUCUCAUCACACAGAGACCAAGCUUGUAAUAAAAGUUGC